rnacentral:rRNA from 1 species
GAUGAACGCUGGCGGCGUGCUUAACACAUGCAAGUCGAACGGAAAGGCUCCUGCUUGCAGGGGCACUCGAGUGGCGAACGGGUGAGUAACACGUGGGUGAUCUGCCCUGCACUUCGGGAUAAGCCUGGGAAACUGGGUCUAAUACCGGAUAGGACCAUCGUUUAGUGUUGGUGGUGGAAAGUUUUUCCGGUGUGGGAUGAGCUCGCGGCCUAUCAGCUUGUUGGUGGGGUAAUGGCCUACCAAGGCGUCGACGGGUAGCCGGCCUGAGAGGGUGUACGGCCACAUUGGGACUGAGAUACGGCCCAGACUCCUACGGGAGGCAGCAGUGGGGAAUAUUGCACAAUGGGCGCAAGCCUGAUGCAGCGACGCCGCGUGGGGGAUGACGGCCUUCGGGUUGUAAACUCCUUUCGCCAGGGACGAAGCGAAAGUGACGGUACCUGGAUAAGAAGCACCGGCUAACUACGUG